rnacentral:rRNA from 1 species
UACGUAGGGGGCAAGCGUUGUCCGGAAUCAUUGGGCGUAAAGAGCGUGUAGGCGGCCCGGUAAGUCCGCCGUGAAAGUCCAGGGCUCAACCCUGGAAUGCCGGUGGAAACUGCCGGGCUGGAGUCCGGAAGAGGCGAGUGGAAUUCCUAGUGUAGCGGUGAAAUGCGCAGAUAUCAGGAGGAACACCAAUGGCGAAGGCAGCUCGCUGGGACGGUACUGACGCUGAGACACGAAAGCGUGGGGAGCAAACAGG